CAACACUCAAGCUCUGCUUGGUCUUGGACCGCGUCAGUUCUGACCGGCCUUAAAAUCAGUGGCGGUGCCAUCGUGCUCUAAGCGUAGUAAUACUUCUCGCUACAGGGUCUCGGUGCGUGCUGGCCAGCAACCCCCAACUUUCAAA
rnacentral:misc_RNA from 1 species